GCCUGGGUGGCUGAGUCGGUUAAGCGUCCGACUUCGGCUCGGGUCAUGAUGUCGCGGUUCGUGGGUUCGAGCCCCGCAUCGGGCU
rfam:Felis catus isolate Cinnamon breed Abyssinian chromosome D3, whole genome shotgun sequence.